GCCUUUCAAGAAGUGGGAGAAGCUUGCUCUGGGGAAGGAUUUUAUGCAUUCCAUCCUAUUGUUGCUCUCUCUGUAGAACAAGAAAGAAAGGGGAGGUGUUAGAAGGGAAGCAUGUGGACACUCGAACAGGAAACGUCAUAGAGAAAACUCAGCAAGGCAGACAGGGGAAGAAGGGCUUUGCUUAAUUGUUCUCUCAAAGCAAAGGUAUCCCACUUUCAGAGCCAAUUUUCUCUUUCAAUGUAACACUCAGGAAUAUGUAAUCUUAGAUGAAUUCAUGUUCCUCCUUUCCUCUUUUAUUUCCAUUAAAUAAUUAAUAAAUUUUGGGGUAACAAAAACUUUAACAGCAAUUUUUAGGAAUCUCCCUCCUAUAUUUGCACAUUUGGCUCUCAACUUCUUCUGGAACUGCCUUCUACGUAACACACUCCAUAUUUGUUACUUAAAUGUUCUUGUUUCUUUAAACAAAACAUAAAGGUAAAGAAGUUUGGUGACCAGAGCAAAUAAGCUCUUUACAAAAGGGCCAAGCACCACACUAUCUUGAAACUGAAAACACCCAAAUCUUUUCUUAACUUUUCCUGAAGUUAACCGUCUUUUGAGCCUAACUUUCUGGGGAGUGAUUGAGGACUGAAGGAAUCGGGAUUGGCAAGAAAAAUGUCUCUCCCUCCGAAGCAUCUGGCUGCAUACUCUGAAAAGACAGGGCAUUUGAAGAAAGAGCAUAAUCAACCUGUCAGAAACAUUUUGAUUUCACUUAAAUACUGGGCAAUCUGACAACAACUUUUCCCACAACUGAGAAGAAUCUCCUAACAUGAGAGGCACUUGAAGACGUGUUAAAAUUUUUACAGCUAUUAACACAUUCCUAAGAAAAAUACUGCUGGAGACACAAGAAAGCCAAGGAUAACAAUCUUCUCUUUCCAAUGAAAACGUUUAGUCUGUUUGAUUAAAGGAAGAUAAAUGAAAGGGCAAGGGCAAACUCACCUCACAUUCUGUGCUACAGUUUGGUUUCCCUUGAGACCAAAUUGUCUCGCUCAGGAAAAAUGUAGUCUGUCUUCAAGUCCCUGUAUUCUGGAGCAAGGAAUCAGAUGAGGAAUCACUUAGCAUUCAGCACAUCUCAGCUGGCUCUGAAGGGCCUGAAUUCUCUGGCAACCUUGACCAGGGAUAAGCAGAACGGAGAAGGCAGGGCAUAGCCAUCAAUUUAUGUUUCCUUCUUCUCCUUAUCUCCCUAUUCCAAGAGAUUCAAAGAGAGGUGCAGAUAGCCCUCCAAUAAGAACAAAACCCUCUGGACCAGGGUACCUAGGCUCUGGUCCUAGCUCUGCAAUAACUGUGACCUUGAAAAACUAUUUGUUGUCGCUAAGCUUCAGUUUUUCUUUCCAUUAAAUUAGGGGGUUGGUCUAAAACAGUAUUUUCACACUGUGAUUUGGAGCCAUUUGUGGGACAUAAAGUCAAUUUAGUCAGUUGCAACAGGCAAUGCUUGGAAAGGAAAGAGGAUAAGAUAAGGGAUAAAGUAGGGAAUGGGAUGGGAUGGGAUGGGAUGGGAUGGGAUGGGAUGGAACAUAGGAUAAGAUAGCUUAGGACAGGACAGGAUAGAAAAUAUCACACUGCUUCAUUUUUUUUUUAUUGGUGUUCACAGAAGCCAGCAUUCAUUGAUGUUUUUACAACUUCCCCAGGUCUACCAGGCUUCUUGAUCUCACUUCUUCUAGAAGAAAACCCAGCCAAGGUGGUACAAGCUGUAGACAGUGCCACCCAGACACAGCUCCACAGUCCAUUGUAUAGGAUGCUGUCAGUUGUCCUGCCCUUUAAGUGCAUUGUGAGGUCACUGUCCACCUCAAUUCAUCAGGAGAGACCUAGUGUGGGUGUAGGGGUGCCUGAGGAGAAAGGGGUGCUGGUUCUUCCUUAUAUCCCCUGCCUGCCUCAGCUGGGCUCUGACCCAGCCAGCAGACUGGAGUCCUCUUCUGCAUGGUAUAUUCUUUCCUGAGACUUUUGUUUCAGUUAGGUAAGGAAACUGAGGCUUAGAGGAGUUAUGAAAUUGCCCAAGGUUUCACAGCUGAAAUGUAUAAGGACCUGGACUUGCAAAUUUGGCACAAAGUUCUUCUAAUAAGAGGCCAUAAAAUAACCAAAUGAUUUUUUAUGUGCCUAUAGAACCAAAAGAACUAUUUCAGAAUGUCAGCUGAAAAGCACGAUAUUCCAGAUAGCUUAGAAACCUUGGCAUAGUGCCUUCCUGGAAAUCCUGGAUUGCAUCUAAAACCAUGUGGCAGAGGGAGAAACAACAGACAGGACAUCCUGAGAAGACUCAGGCUGGGACGAAAGCUCUGCUCUCCAGGGACAAAGCAGCAGGGGACCAGCCAUGCUCAGAAAUACUCCACUGGCCAGUGCACAUUUUUUUGAGCAAUUUCACUUGCUUCCUCACCACCUGUCCCCCUAACACUUCUAUUAAAGUGGCAAAUAAAUCUGAUACCCAAUUUCAACUGCACUUUCUUUCCAAAAUAUAUAUAACACUAAUACACCUGGUGUAUUUACUGCUUAUUAUUAACCAAUAAUCAUUUCCAUGGAGUAUGAAAGAAAUUCCUCUUUUCUCCAACAAUCCUCUAAAGAUUGUCUUUAUAUGAGAACAUAUCCUGGGUCACAACCAUUAACCAUCUAUAAAGAAAGACUCGAUUUUUUCCUUUGACUGAUGAAGUACUAUAUGGCUACUACAAUGAAUAUAAGGAAAGAAGUAAAGGAUAGUAGCACUUACUAAAUACCUAUUAUAUAUCAGUCCUAUUCUGUGACUUCAAAGAUCUUACAUUCAUAUUGUUAAUCUAAGGCUAACAAGCUCACGGUAGUGGCUACCACUUUUAAAGCGCUUUCCAAUGAUCCUGCGUUCCAUCUCUGUGUGCUUCUCUUUUCAGUCCUUACGUUUUAAACAAAAGAUACUGUUUCGCUACCAGGUACAAAGUACACACAGGUACCAGAUAUCCUGAUGCUCCUACUUCUCAUUUUUCCAGUAAUUCCUAGGUAAGACUACUUUUGCUAAAGUAUUCAACAGAAUAACAUUACCUUCCCCAGUCAUAGAGCUAUUUCUCUGACUGAUGCUUCAUAACUCUGUCCAGUAUGGUAGUCACCAGACACAUGGCUACUGAGCACUUGAAGUGUGGCUAAUGUAGCUGCAGAACUAGAGUUUUAAAAUUUUGCUCAAUCUUAAUUAACAUAAGUUUAAAUUUUAAACCGAAAGCAGUGUAAAAAGUGAAAAUUCACUUACUGUUAGUGUAAAAUAGAAACUGGAGCUCAAAGACUAAGUACAAAAACAGUAAAAUCCUACAGAAUUAAGUUUUAUAUUAGUUACAUGUUUAAAUAAUAAUAUUUAAGAUACAUUGGGUUAAAUCAAUUAUUAAAAUUAAUUUUACUGUUUUUUCUUUUAAUGUGGCCAGUAGAAAAUUUUAAAUGGCAUAUGUGGCUCAUCUUCUAUUUCUAUUGGGCAAUGAUGCUCCAGAAAGAGAAUUAUAAAAAGAAUAGAAAGAGUAUUCUCUACACCCGGAAUGUAUAGGGUGAAGAAUAGAGGGGGAAAAAGGAAAAAAUACUAAUUUAACCCAGCUAACUACAUGAAAGAAAAAUAAUUUUAUCUGAGACUAAAUCAUGGACUCAUUAUUCCCCAUAGGAUUAAUUUUCCAUUCCAUGUUCCUCAUUAAAUCUGACCUUGAGAAAUCCUUCACUGGCCACUUCUGGGUGGUAAGAUUGCCUUGUGUGAUUCUGACUACUCAAUGUCUGAUCACAACUCACCCCUCUAUCCUUUAGUAAUCCAGUAGAAGGUUAUAGAAGAUAAAAUUUUAUUCAUUCAUUCAUUCAUUCAUUCAUUCAUUCAUUUAUGUCUACAUGAUCUGAGGUCCAUGUUUUUGGAUAGCACAAUUUGGCAUGCAAAUAUAAUAAAUAAAUUGAGUUUCAAACAUUUUUAAAAGUACUUAAAUGGUAUACUAAACACACAGCUUACAGCAAUGGCAUUAAAUGUCCCGUAUGUGGAUUUUUUGGGGGGGUGCUUAAUGAGAUGAAAGGAUCACACAAAAUGUUUUUGUGAAAAUGAUUCUGUAAAGUGGGACUGUAGAUCAAAGUUCACCACUGUCAAAUAUACAACUUGAGAACAAACUAAAGUGCUGCUAUUAAUCAUGGUUUCUGGGGAUUUGAUGACACAGAUUAAACUGCUGUAAAGAAUACUGCUGUGCAUCGUGUUCUUGCAACUGUCAUCAGCACUUCUGCCAAGUGUCCACAGAUCAUGAAGAAAAGCUGCCUAACCUCUACUGGAGGUAUCUCUCUCACUGAGCUUAGUCAAGAAUAUGAAUAGCAGGUUUAAGUUCAUGACAAUACCUCAAAGAUACUGUAUCUGCAAAGCCACUGCUUUCUUAGGGAAGAAAAGGCUUCAUGAGUUUGAGAGGCAAAAUGGAGGUGGAACAUGAAGCAAGUAAACUGAGAUCAGAUACCACAUGACUUUCAUUUCUAUCUAACUUUCAAUCAGAUAGACUUUCCAUACAUAUUCUGUAAAAUAUUUUAAAUAAUUUAUAAUGUGCCAUAUUUCAGAGGUCUGAGGCUAUGUAAUUUUUUUUUUUUUUUUUUGAGACAGAGUCUUGCUCUGUUGCCCAGGCUGGAGUGCAGUGGUGCUGUUACUGGGUGGGUCUUUGUUCUUAGAGCUCCUAAGAUGGUGGCGGGCCACUCCCAAGAUGGGGCAGCAAGCCUUUUAUUCUCUGACCUGGGGUUCCUGGCCUCACAGAUUCCAAGGAAUGGAACCUUGGGCCACGUGGUGAAUGUUAUAGCUGUAUUAGAAGCCAUGGGUCACAGAAGAGAACCAUGGAACCCAGCAACUAGCGUUUAGCUCGAUUAGGAUGAACGUAGGCACUUAGCCAUGCAGGAACAAUGGUGAGACUCUAGCCCGAACGGGAGCGUCAGUGGGUGCCUCGCUGGAUCAGAAAUGCAGCAGACACCCUGCCAGAUCCAGAGGGGUGGAAGUCAAUGGCGGGUCUGCAACGGCGGUGAACAGCAGUGGCGGACGGUGAGCGAAAGCUCAGCAGGAGCCAGAACAAACGUGGACCAGAAGAGUGUGCAGUUGCAAGAUUUAACAGUGAAAACAGAGCUCCACACAAUCGGAGGGGACCCAAAGGGGGUUGCCACUCCCUGCUCGAAUACCUGGGUUUGUAUCCCGAUCAUUGACCCUCCCCAUGUGCUCUCAGGUGAUAUAUGAUUUGACUAUUUCUUUACCUCCUGCUUUUAGCCUAAUUUGUAUUUUAGUGAGCCAUCUUUACUACCUGAUUGGUCAUGUGUGAGCUGAGUUACAAGCCCCGUGUUUAAAGGUGGGAGCAGUCACCUUCCCAAGCUAGGCUUAGGAAGUCUUAGUUGGCCUAGGAAAUCCAGCUAGUCCUGUCUCUCAGUACCCCCUCUCAACAGGGAAACCCAAGUGUUGUUGGGGAGGUUGGCCAACAACAGCUUUAACUGCUUCCUGCUGAAUUGGGGUGUAGUAGGGGUUGUGCAGUUGAGAUUUCCUCAGGAGGGAUGCCUUCGAUGUCAUCAACAUUGGAGCAUGGGCUAGCAGGCCCGUCCAGGGGUCCACAGUAGAUCUUAGUCAUGGACUGCAUCUGGGGCUCCAAUUGAAGAACCA
rnacentral:lncRNA from 1 species